GUUUGAUCAUGGCUCAGAACGAACGCUGGCGGCAUGCCUAACACAUGCAAGUCGAACGAGACCUUCGGGUCUAGUGGCGCACGGGUGCGUAACGCGUGGGAACCUGCCUUUAGGUUCGGAAUAACUCAGAGAAAUUCGAGCUAAUACCGGAUAAUGUCUUCGGACCAAAGAUUUAUCGCCUUUAGAUGGGCCCGCGUAAGAUUAGCUAGUUGGUGGGGUAAAGGCCUACCAAGGCGACAAUCUUUAGCUGGUCUGAGAGGAUGAUCAGCCACACUGGGACUGAGACACGGCCCAGACUCCUACGGGAGGCAGCAGUGGGGAAUAUUGGACAAUGGGCGAAAGCCUGAUCCAGCAAUGCCGCGUGAGUGAUGAAGGCCUUAGGGUUGUAAAGCUCUUUUACCCGAGAUGAUAAUGACAGUAUCGGGAGAAUAAGCUCCGGCUAACUCCGUG
rnacentral:rRNA from 1 species